rnacentral:rRNA from 1 species
UACGUAGGGGGCAAGCGUUGUCCGGAUUUAUUGGGCGUAAAGAGCGUGUAGGCGGCUUUGCAAGUCCGUUGUGAAAACUCGAGGCUCAACCUCGAGACGCCGGUGGAAACUGCAAAGCUAGAGUACGGAAGAGGCGAGUGGAAUUCCUGGUGUAGCGGUGAAAUGCGCAGAUAUCAGGAGGAACACCUAUUGCGAAGGCAGCUCGCUGGGACGUGACUGACGCUGAGACGCGAAAGCGUGGGGAGCAAACAGG